rnacentral:rRNA from 1 species
GAUGAACGCUAGCGGCAGGCCUAAUACAUGCAAGUCGGACGGGAUUUGGGAGCUUGCUCCUAAUGAGAGUGGCGCACGGGUGCGUAACACGUAUGUAACCUACCUUAAUCAGGGGGAUAGCCUCUCGAAAGAGAGAUUAACGCCGCAUAAUAUAUUUUUAUGGCAUCGUAGAAAUAUCCAAUAUUUAUAGGAUUAAGAUGGGCAUGCGGAACAUUAGCUAGUUGGUAAGGUAACGGCUUACCAAGGCUACGAUGUUUAGGGGAUCUGAGAGGAUGACCCCCCACACUGGUACUGAGACACGGACCAGACUCCUACGGGAGGCAGCAGUAAGGAAUAUUGGUCUAUGGGCGCAAGCCUGAACCAGCCAUGCCGCGUGCAGGAAGACGGCCCUAUGGGUUGUAAACUGCUUUUGUACCGGAAUAAACCCUUUUACGUGUAAAAGGCUGAAUGUACGGUAAGAAUAAGGAUCGGCUAACUCCGUGCCAGCCGCCGCAGUAA